rnacentral:misc_RNA from 1 species
GCAAACUUGGUCAUUUAGAGGAAGUAAAAGUCGUAACAAGGUUUCCGUAGGUGAACCUGCGGAAGGAUCAUUAUUGAAAUCAAUUGGUUUGGGUUUGUUGCUGGCUUUCUUGAGCAAAUGUGCACAUCCAGACCACCUUUUUCAAACCACCAGUGAACCUGCUGUAGACCUGAAGCCAAUCAAACCAGUCGUCAAAAACUUGUUUGGAGUUUGGAUUGCUGUGCAAGUAAUUGUCAGCUUUGCUUGAAUUCAGGUUUAUGUUUAUAAACACCUAAUGUAUAUUUGGACUGUAAAUAAAAAAGGCUUUCUAUGGCUUUUUUUUAGUGAAACGAAAUACAACUUUCAACAACGGAUCUCUUGGCUCUCGCAUCGAUGAAGAACGCAGC